GACGAAGGUGGCGAGCGUUGUUCGGAAUCACUGGGCAUAAAGCGCACGUAGGCGGCGACGUAAGUUGGAUGUGAAAUCCCUCGGCCCAACCGAGGAACUGCGUCCAGUACUGCGUUGCUUGAGGAUCAAAGGGGUGCAUGGAAUUCCCGGUGGAGCGGUGAAAUGCGUUGAUAUCGGGAGGAACUCCGGCGGCGAAAGCGGUGCACUGGUUGAUUACUGACGCUGAGGUGCGAAAGCCAGGGGAGCAAACGGG
rnacentral:rRNA from 1 species